GUUGAACGGCUCAUAUGUGGUUCCAAGGCAUCCAGAGGAUAUGGAGGAGGCUUCAGGUCAAACUUCGCAGUGAUUUUGGUGAGACAAGUCUUUGAAACAUGUUGUUUCUGUUUGUUUGAGGUAGAAGAAAUGGCGGAUGGUGGGAGUGGGGUUCCGCGGAAGCUAGAACGGGGAAGUUGAUUUUGGUGCAGUUUAGUGGAAGGUAGCAUAGCGAUAGAUGCCAUAUCCG
rnacentral:misc_RNA from 1 species